GAUGAACGCUGGCGGUAUGCCUAACACAUGCAAGUCGUACGAGAGUUUUUAACUCUAGUGGCGGACGGGUGAGUAACACGUGAGAAUUUGCCUUUAGGAGGGGGACAACAAUUGGAAACGAAUGCUAAUACCCCAUAUGCUUUCGAGUGAAAUGGAUUUUAUCCGCCUAGAGAGAAGCUCGCGGCUGAUUAGCUUGUUGGUAAGGUAAGAGCUUACCAAGGCGACGAUCAGUAUCUGGUUUGAGAGGACGAUCAGACACACUGGAACUGAGACACGGUCCAGACUCCUACGGGAGGCAGCAGUGGGGAAUUUGGACAAUGGGCGAAAGCCUGAUCCAGCCAUUCCGCGUGCAGGAUGAAGGCCCUCGGGUUGUAAACUGCUUUGUACAGAACGAAAAGGUACUCUAUUAAUACUAGGGCUCAUGACGGUACUGUAAGAAUAAGACACCGGCUAACUACGUGCCAGCAGCCGC
rnacentral:rRNA from 1 species